UACCCAGUUCUCAAAUGUUUGCCAAAUAUGAAUUGGUCUUUGUGUGUACCUGUGAUUAUCUGUGCAAGUGUUCAAAUGCAAACUUGUAACUGAAAUGCUGUUUUAUGAUCCUAUGGGAUCAUGGUCCAGAGUCUCCUUACCUGCUUCUGAAUUAAUUCUAAACUGCACCUGGCUGCAGACCUCAGGAUCAAGAAACCUGGUUCAUAGUACUGAAGUUUCCCUCUGACUUGGUGAUAUUACCGGGGUGGUAGAUUCUUUCCCAGUCUAGCUAGUGCAAAGAAUUUCUGGGCUCCUACGAAAGCAGAUUUGAGGAGACCUAGUAAUUUCUCGUGGAUCAGAAGUGUCACACGUGAAACGGACUCCAUACCUAGAUGGCAACUCGGUCAGUGGAGCAUGGGAGACAUGAAGAACUCCUACCUGAAGUACACAACGAAGACACCAACACUGCAGCUAACUUUCUCCGAUUGUGCAUGAUAUUAUUUAUUAUUGAAGUGUUGAGAAAACCAUAUGAGUAUGUAAAAAUGAAGUUACAGAAGAAAUGGCAAGAACGUCAUAGAAAAUCUGGUAAAUAUCCCCUGACAGCCUUAACUCUUAUGCCACAUUAAAAUGAAUGCUCUCUUGGUAUCUUUAACGUUUGUUCCCUGCUCCCGUAAUUGCGCUCCAUGAUUCACCCUUCUCCUGAACAUCUACUCUCUACCCCGUAUGUUGACUAAUGGACUUCUCCCAUAGUACGUUUUCUCUAUUUCUUUUUCCCUCCACUUUCCAUCAUUUCCCUUUCUUUCUUGUUCAGCAAUGCCUUCCGUUCCCUGUAAACAUUGAUUUAUCUGUGUCAGAUACUUGACAUAUAAGCAUAUAAAACAAAAUGAUAUUUUGGUACUGUGGUGGCCAGAGACUUAGAGGCUUCUGAACUUUUUUUUUUUUUCCAGAAGCAGUGGCCUAGGACUCUCUAACUCAGGGUUGAUGGUGACUUAAUACAAAUUGCUACCAUGAUAAUGAGAAUUAAUAUCAUAGAUUUACUGGGAAUCAAAGGCAGUAUUGAAGAUAAGAACCUAGUAAUAAAAGCCUAAAUAACAUAGACA
rnacentral:lncRNA from 1 species